rnacentral:lncRNA from 1 species
UUAACUUAGGUUUCCCGCCCACAAAGGGUUUAUCUAUGGCUUAUCAUCAAAUCCCAAAAACCUGUUGGUCCAUCACCUCUUAAAAAUGGACAGGAAACCUAAGGUAAUUUUAUAAACCGGCCUUCCCCAAUUUUACUAUAAAGGGGAAACCGGGGCAAGAUGGUCCACUGGGGGUAAAAUGGACCAGCCCCAUUUUAGACAUCUACAUGGGACUUAACCGUCGUGACGCUUUCCAAUUCAUAGUUACUUCCCUUCGAUCUCACAUCCCCAAAAGUUUCAUUUUGGCGGCAGUUUUCAUGACACAGGAAGGAAAAUACUAAAAUUCAAGUCUUCAAUGUAAGUAUUGCUUUCAAAUAUAUCAUGCUAAUGAAAUAAAUAGCAACACCUUAGGUAAGUAUGGCCUAUCAUGUUUUGAAACAUUUCAAAUGUCAAUGUUUAAGCAGCAACAGCCUUGAAUUUUCUUUAGGUUUGAAUGCAGAGCAAGCAUUUUCUUUUUUGUUGUUGUAACCUGAAUGGGGCAAAACGGUCCACUGUCCCGUUUUACCCCAUAUGUGUGUUUGUGUAUGUAUACACAUAUGUGUGUGUUGUGCAUAGUAUGUUUGUAUGCAAAUGCGAGUAUGUAUGUGUGCAGGGAUAUGAGCGCCGGUGUCUGUGUGGGUGCGAGUGCGCAUAAGUUUUAUCUCACUUUCUGCAUCCCAUUUUCUUUAUUAUUUUCAGAUGGUGAGAAAUUGUCAAGAAGGCUGAGGGUGUCUUGGCAUCACUCACCAAAUCCUUUGUGAGCCGCUCUCCGGCUAUCUAUCUGCGGCUUUAUAUAGCUAUGGUAAGACCUCACCUGGAAUUUGCAUCACCGGUCUGGAACCCCGGUCUUGCCCAGGAUAUCAAUCGUCUGGAAGCUGUUCAGCGACGUGCAACCAAAAGAAUACCCUCCAUCAGGCAUUUGCCAUAUUCUGAACGCCUUACUUCCCUGGGCAUGGACACAUUGAAACUCCAACGUCUGGCAGCUGACUUGGCAGACACCCAUAAAAUUAUCAACCAUCUUACAUAACAAUAACUCUGAGCACCUUUUCAAACUCCACCCGUCUAACACCCGUGGACGGACAUAUUUACAAAGUCAGAAAACAGCACAGCUCCCAUGACUUUAGGAAACAUUUUUUCACGCUGGGAGUUGCUGAGGCAUGGAACGAACUGCCGGCAUCAGUUGUUAGUUGUCGGAGCACUGCAUCCUUCAAAACUUCCAUGCUUCCUGAGAUUCGUCAACACUACACCUGAUUUUCUCCCCUCCAUACACACACAAGCAUGUA